rnacentral:rRNA from 1 species
CCUACGGGAGGCAGCAGUGAGGAAUAUUGGUCAAUGGACGAGAGUCUGAACCAGCCAAGUCGCGUGAAGGAUUACUGCCCUAUGGGUUGUAAACUUCUUUUAUCUGGGAAUAAAAUGUUGCACGUGUGGGAGGUUGUAUGUACCAUAUGAAUAAGGAUCGGCUAACUCCGUGCCCGCAGCCGCGGUAAUACGGAGGAUCCGAGCGUUAUCCGGAUUUAUUGGGUUUAAAGGGGGCGGAGGCGGAUUGUUAAGUCCGUUGUGAAAGUUUGCGGCUCAACCGUGACACUGCAGUUGAAACUGGCAGUCUUGAGUACAGUAGAGGUAGGCGGAAUUCGUGGUGUAGCGGUGAAAUGCUUAGAUAUCACGAAGAACUCCGAUUGCGAAGGCAGCUCACUGG